rnacentral:rRNA from 1 species
GACGUAGGGCGCGAGCGUUGUCCGGAUUUAUUGGGCGUAAAGAGCUCGUAGGCGGCUUGUCGCGUCGUCCGUGAAAACUUGGGGCUCAACCCCAAGCUUGCGGUCGAUACGGGCAGGCUCGAGUUCGGUAGGGGAGACUGGAAUUCCUGGUGUAGCGGUGGAAUGCGCAGAUAUCAGGAGGAACACCGGUGGCGAAGGCGGGUCUCUGGGCAGUAACUGACGCUGAGGAGCGAAAGCGUGGGGAGCGAACAGG